ACUUCAGCCUGGGCAACAGAGUGAGACUCCGUCUCAAAAAAAAAACAAACAAACAACAAGCAAACAAAAAAAAAGAAGAUCACCUUUGCGCUUUGUGCUACAAAUAAAUUGGUGCUGACUUAGUACCAAGACUGUGAUUUCUAAUGAAAAUUAAACUAUUGAUGGUAAAACAAAAUAACAGAAAAAAAAAAAGAAGAGACACCUUUCAAAUGACCACCAAAUUCAUAAUCAUGGAUUAAGCCAGUGAAGAUUUUCUCUUGCAGGCACUGUCUUUUAAAAUGAGAUUCUGUUCAAGAGUGUUACAGUAGCAUAAUAUAAAUCGGUGGCUAUGGCUUUUAAACUCUGGUUCUUUCUCCUGUAAAGCAGCAUAAGUGAGUGCCUUAUCAUAACGUCGGAAUAAUGACAUCUCAAGGCCUGCAUGUUGCAUUCACAAGCAAGGAGAGUCCCAGAACGAGGUUGACUCAGCAGUACCUGACCAGGCUGCUUAAUGCACUGAUGAAUACCAUUGCCCCUAGGAAUUAAAUAUAGAGGUGCCUGGAGCUUGUGUAAAGUUCUCUGUGCCAUUUGAAAAAGGUACUCGGAGAAAAGAUGGGCUGAUUUUUAAUUUUAAUGUUUUACUCAUCGGUUUAAGUACAUUUAUGGUUUGCUUUGCAAAAUGUCAACAGACAUCCCAAGUGGUUAACAUUUUUAAAAGACUGAAUAUUCUGUAUUUACUCUAAUAUCAUUUUUAAAAUGUGGUCAUCAAUGCCUACAGGUUCAUCUGU
rnacentral:lncRNA from 1 species